rnacentral:lncRNA from 1 species
UUGAGAUCUAUAGUAAGAGCUUCUAAAAAACACCUUAGAGAUCAGAAUGGCCAAAGACCUCGGUAUCACUGUACGCAGCUGCAAAAAGGCUAGCUUUUCACUCGCAAACAAAAGGUGCAACUGAAAAGGAUCGUGCACUACCAAGACUCGCAAAUGCAAAAAAGCCAUGAUAUCAUGUGGCAGUAAAUUUCACACCAAGCCUACAUGCAAGAAUGUAACUAGCGAUGAAAACUAACUAUGGCAUCAAUAUUUAAUUUUUACGUAAUUUUUGAAUUAUAAAAUUAACAAACUGUCAU